rnacentral:rRNA from 1 species
CCCUUAGAUGUUCUGGGCUGCACGCGCGCUACACUGUCGGAUUCAGCGAGUCAUAUCCUUAACCGAAAGGUUUGGGUAAUCUUUUGAAAGUCCGACGUGAUGGGGAUUGAUCAUUGCAAUUAUUGAUCAUGAACGAGGAAUUCCUAGUAAGCGCGAGUCAUCAGCUCGCGUUGAUUACGUCCCUGCCCUUUGUACACACCGCCCGUCGCUACUACCGAUUGAAUGGUUUAGUGAGAUCUUCGGAUUGGCGCCUACGCGGCUUCCCUGAGGCCACGCUGGAUGCCGAAAAGUUGCUCAAACUGUAUCAUUUAGAGGAAGUAAAAGUCGUAACA